rnacentral:rRNA from 1 species
AGCAGCCGCGGUAAUUCCAGCUCCAAUAGCGUAUAUUAAAGUUGUUGCAGUUAAAAAGCUCGUAGUUGAACUUCGGGGUUUACCCAUUGGUCAGGCUUAAUUGUCUGUACUGGUGAGAUAAAUCUCUACCUUCUGAGGAACUUUCAUGUCAUUAAUUUGGUGUGAUUGGAAAUCAGGACUGUUACUUUGAAAAAUUAGAGUGUUUAAAGCAGGCUAACGUCUGAAUACAUUAGCAUGGAAUAAUGAAAUAGGACGGACUGAUUCUAUUUCGUUGGUUUCUAGGAUCACCGUAAUGAUUAAUAGGGAUAGUUGGGGGCAUUAGUAUUCAAUUGUCAGAGGUGAAAUUCUUGGAUUUAUUGAAGACUAACUACUGCGAAAGCAUUUGCCAAGGAUGUUUUCAUUAAUCAAGAACGAAAGUUAGGGGAUCGAAGACGAUCAGAUACCGUCGUAGUCUUAACCAUAAACUNUAGCCGACUAGGGAUCGGACGAAGUUAAUUUUAUAAUGACGCGUUCGGCACCU